rnacentral:rRNA from 1 species
AGAGUUUGAUCAUGGCUCAGGAUGAACGCUAGCUACAGGCUUAACACAUGCAAGUCGAGGGGCAGCAUGUUGGUUGCUUGCAACCAACGAUGGCGACCGGCGCACGGGUGAGUAACGCGUAUCCAACCUACCCUUGUCCAUCGGAUAACCCGUCGAAAGGCGGCCUAACACGAUAUGCGGUUCACAGCAGGCAUCUAACGUGAACGAAAUGUGAAGGAGAAGGAUGGGGAUGCGUCUGAUUAGCUUGUUGGCAGGGUAACGCCACCAAGGCUACGAUCAGUAGGGGUUCUGAGAGGAAGGUCCCUCACAUUGGAACUGAGACACGGUCCAAACUCCUACGGGAGCA